rnacentral:lncRNA from 1 species
UAAUAUACCUCUCAAAACUUUCCAAAUAACUCGUUUAUUUUUACUUUUUUUUUUCCAAUACAUCAUACAUAUCUCCCUCCCUUAUUAUAAAAUAUCCUACCGUUAUCACCACUUAAAUUAACUUAGAUUAGACGUAAGUUAAAUAUCUUUUAUAGUUAAAAAAAUUACAAUACUAAUUUUGUCUUUAACUUAAGGGCAAAUAAAAAAUGUUAGUGACGGUAGAGAAAUAUAUUUGAAAAGAUCAAAAGUCAAAAUACCCUUUGCGUCCCUGACUUAAGGGCAAAUAGGAAAAGUCGGUAAUAGUGGAAGGGUAUAUUUGAAAAGACAAAAUAGUAAUUUUAUAUAGAUAACAUAGUUCAUUAACAGAUUUUAACUCUACGGAUAUAUUUGAAAUAGAUUGGAACGUAAAAAAAGUAUUUUCAAUAUUAGCCUUCUAAGAGAGGUAAAUCAGAAAGUCGGAAAUUUUUCAGAAGUAUAUAAGCAAUUGCCCCUUAAUAAUAAUAAUAAUAAUACUAUUAUUAUUAUUAUUAUUAUUUUGGGAUAAUUA